AGUGAACGUUGGCGGCAUGCCUUACACAUACAAGUCGAACGGCAGCACGGGUGCUUGCACCUGGUGGCGAGUGGCGAACGGGUGAGUAAUACAUCGGAACGUACCUUAUCGUGGGGGAUAACGCAGCGAAAGUUGCGCUAAUACCGCAUACGCCCGGAGGGGGAAAGCGGGGGACCGUAAGGCCUCGCGCGAAUAGAGCGGCGGAUGUCUGAUUAGCUUGUUGGUGAGGUAAAAGCUCACCAAGGCGAUGAUCAGUAGCUGGUCUGAGAGGACGAUCAGCCACACUGGGACUGAGACACGGUCCAGACUCCUACGGGAGGCAGCAGUGGGGAAUAUUGGACAAUGGGGGAACCCUGAUCCAGCCAUGCCGCGUGUGUGAAGAAGGCCUUCGGGUUGUAAAGCACUUUCAGUAGGGAGGAAAGCUCGGUAGCUAAUAUCUGCCGGGAUUGACGUUACCUACAGAAGCAGCACCGGCUAACUUCGUGCCAGCCGCCGCCGUAA
rnacentral:rRNA from 1 species